UCAAUUGGAGGAUGAAAAGAGUUACAUGUUUUGACAGCUCUGCGGUCCAAAUUCCUCGUUCAAAACCUGCACAGUAAAAUGAACUUCUUUCGACAGAACAAUGCUUUCUUUGCAUCUCUUGGUGCUGGUAUGGUCAUAGGCAUCAUGUAUUGGCGAAUGACACAGAAAAUUAUGCGCGAAUUGCAUAGCCUAUCGGGGGUGAUCGCAGAGCUUCAAACCGAAGUCUGCCAGCUGAAAGAGAAAGUUGACAACGCUGGUAGAAGACGUAAAAGUCCAGGAAGUGGCUUCUUUUCUUUGGGAGCAAGCAGUGGAGAUGACGAUGAGGAAGUUUAUGAAGAAGCUUAUGGAGGGAGUGAUUUAGAGGAUCUGGAAGAGCAGAUUAUAAUAACACCAACACAAACAGAACAAGAAAUUGAAUCAAGAGACGAAGUGUUUACAGAAGUUGAUCAGUUACUGGAAGGGACGGACGAAGACAAAGAAAAAGCUUUCGAUAUUCUUCAGAGAAAUAAAAGCAAGUAUUUAACAGAUGCCAAUUUCUACUGGAGGCUGUCAAAGACCACAUUUCAAGUUUCACAAAUACUUGGUGCACGUGGCGAUGCAGAGAAGAAAAAAGAAUACGUAUACACUGCCAAAGAUUUAGCUCAAAAAGCACUUGAUCUUGAUGACCAAUGUGCUAAUGCUCAUAAAUGGUUUGCAAUAACUAUAGGUAGUAUAGGAGAGUAUGAAGGAACACAAGAGAAAAUCAAAAAUGGAUUUAUAUAUAAGGAACAUAUAGGGAAAGCAAUAUCGUUGAAACCAAAAGACCCAUCCAAUCAUUAUCUGCUAGGUAGAUGGUGCUAUAGUGUAUACAUGUUAUCGUGGAUUGAGAGAAAGGCAGCUGCAGCAUUAUUUGCUACCCCACCCACUUCUACUGCAGAGGAAGCAGUCAUACAUUUCUUAAAGGCAGAUGAACUGAAUCCUGGAAAGUGGAAAGAAAAUAUUCUGUUUAUAGCUAAGUGUUAUAUAGAGAUGAGACAAUAUCAAGAAGCAGUAAAAUGGCUGAUAAAAGGACAACAGAUUCCGACUGUUAGUCAAGAUGAUAAAGAGUCAGAGAUAGAAAUUGGAACACUGUUAGCAAAAUACAGGUCCUACUGAAUCUGUGAGUCACUAGAAUCUACUCAACAUAAAGUGCUAUAAACUAUAUUUAUUAAUUGCCAUAAUAAUGGUUUGUCUCUCUUCGACUAGGAACAAAUUGUGACAAAAUGAGGUUGUUCAAAAGGAUUUAUUCUUGAGAUUAUGUUUUACUGUGUUUUAACAGUCAGUAUUGAUAAUAUAGUCUCGUUUUUGUUUUAUGCUGUGAAAUUGUGUAAUUUUGUUGGUGUAAUUGUCAGGGGUUUUGCAAAAAAAAAAUGGCUAUUUCACACGGGUAUGAAUGUUGCAUGGUUUUCAAAUUUUGGCAGUAAGAUAAAUGCAAAAUUUGAUAUAUUAGGGUUUAAUUUCAUGGAUUGACAUAGCCAAAAAAUCCACAGAAAUAGUCCCCCACAAACACAUUAAAAUGAUUUCACAGUAUGUUAAAGGUUGAAUAGUAGUAAUUGAAAUCCUUGGUUGUUAUCUGGAUUUUCUGUCUAAGAUUACCUGAACUGUUUAUUGCUCAUUUUUGAAACAAUUAUGAAAUCUCCCAUACAGAUUUGUUGCUCUUCUAUGUCUGCCUUAGCCUAGUUUCUUUUGAAGAAUCUUGAUUAAAAAUUAACAUCUUCAACACUUAGUUAAAUAUACUAUACUUAUCAAGUAAUUAAGAUAUUGCUUGAAGUAUUAUUGAUAUAUGUAAUCCACCAAGAAAGUUGCAAAGUUGUGAAAAUUCUAAAGGUAUAUCAAACAUAUUUUCAGUGAAGAAUAUCAAACAUAUUUUUCACAGGUAAGAAACUAUAAAAUGGGUAAAUUUUGUCAAAACAUGAAAUUAAAAGAAAAUUGUAUGUUUUUCAUGUAUGAUUAAAAUAUCUUUCACUCAUGAAUAUCAUAUCUUACAUUUUCACUUGUGGCUAUGCCCCUAGUGACAAUAUUUCAUCUAAUGUUCGCUUGUGAAAGAUAUUUCAAUCUUAGACUAAUAGAAACAAAUAUCCUCUAUAUCUUGGCUGGUUCUAGUGAAUUGGUUCUUGUAAAAUUUGUCACAGUACACACUAGAUAUUCUUCAGGUUUGUUAGUUUCCUCUGCCCACUUUAAGUCAAACCAGUCUUUGACAGUGACAACAUGUCAUUAUGUUAUAUUUCAAUGUCUUUUACUUGAUGUCAUCUGCUGCUUGAAUUGUUAAAGUUAUAGCCAUCAGACAUUCGACAUUUGUAGUAUUUUGAUGAUGUAUAUGGAGAUGACAGCGUAGAGGCAACAACUCUGUAAAAGAGAUUUACAAAUAUGCUCAGAACAUACAUGGUUUGAAUACAUAAUGUGUGCCAUAAAAAUAGAUUUUUUUUAUAAUUUAAGAUGGCAUGUAAAUAUUUGUAGACAUUGAUUGUGUUACAAACUUUUCAUAAAGUAUGAUUUCAUUGUCAUGAAUUCUGACCCUUUAAAAUGUGGCAGACAAAAAAUGUACUGGUACACAUGUUCAUUCAUUUCCUCUGUAUAGAGUUCUAAAAUCAGGGUUGAAUUGCAAUAUACAAGUAUGUUUUGUUUUAUAUGUUAUUGUUGUUUUCGGUGAAGAAAACCAAAGCAGGUGUUGAAGAAAUUUAUAGUAAUCAGGGACCAAGAACAACCAUUCUCACAUACACGAAAGUCGUGACAUAUACAUAGAUUGCUCAUACAUUAUCAUUAAUUGACAUCUAAAUGGUGCAAUUACUUGUUUUUGAAUUUUUAAAAUUACCGGUAACUAGCAACUCUGCUGAUCUAAGUUUUACAGUUUUUAACUUACUAGAAUAAUAAUAAUUAUGUUCUCAUUACAUAAAUAUUCUUAAUUUUGUUGAUGUUGUAAAUUGUGUAUUUUCAUAACUCUGUGUAUUCGUAUAAGGUAUAGUUUCGUUUUAAAGGUUAUUUGAUAAGUGAAAUGUAAAAUUUACUCCCUAAUCAUUUUUAGCUCAUCUGAUUUUCAAAAAAAAUGAUGAGUUAUUCUCAUCAUUUGGUCAGCGUCGGCAUUGCCUGGUUAAGUUUUAUGUUUAGGUCAGCUUUUCUCCUAAACUG
rnacentral:misc_RNA from 1 species